rnacentral:rRNA from 1 species
GGACUACUCGGGUUUCUAAUCCUGUUUGCUCCCCACGCUUUCGUGCAUGAGCGUCAGUGUUGGCCCAGGAGGCUGCCUUCGCCAUUGGUGUUCCUCCACAUCUCUACGCAUUUCACCGCUACACGUGGAAUUCCACCUCCCUCUGCCACACUCCAGCCAAGUAGUUUCGAGCGCAAUUCCCAAGUUAAGCCCGGGGCUUUCACACUCGACUUGCUCAGCCGCCUGCGCACACUUUACGCCCAGUAAUUCCGAUUAACGCUCGCGCCCUACGUAUUACCGCGGCUGCUGGCAC